UAUAAGGAAACCAAAAUGUUGUGUUAGUACCAGGACAGUUGCGUGUGUACGUACUUGUGAUUUCUUUUUCUUUCUUUCUUUUUUUUUUUUCUGAAAUGGAGUCUUGCCUUGUUGCCCAGGCUGGAGUGCAGUGACGCCAUCUCAGCUCACUGCAAGCUCCGCCUCCCAGGUUCACGCCAUUCUCCUGCCACAGUCUCCCGAGUAGCUGGGACUACAGGCGCCCGCCACCAUGCCCGGCGUGAGCCCAGAUAGCGCCAGUGCACACCAGCCUGGGCCACAGAGUGAGACUCUGUCUCAAAAAAUUAAAAGGAACAAAAUGAACCCAUUUAUACAAAGACUACAAGGGUGGAGAGACUUGGAUAGCAUGCAGGAUAUUCACAAGCAAUUCUGGAAGAAAAAUGGCAGAUGAGUGCAUUCUGUUAUUAAAAUCACAGCUCAGAGUCCUCCCAGGAAAUGGCUGCGGUGUGUAGGGAGCUGUCUUUCACAGUGAUGAAAAGAACUCUAGGUUCAGAGUGGGCAGGUAUCUGGAAGAACAUUUUUUCGCCAGCAUCCCUUUAUUUAUUGAUACGUCGAUGAGAAUAGUACCACAGCCCAAUGACAUUUAUCAUUUCAGUUGGCAGUGUCUCUGAGAGCAAGCUGCAAGAUUUUCAAGCCUUCACUGAGUCUUCUACUGACAUUUAGCUUAAUCUUGACAAGUAUAUCUGACUACUGCAAUGUGUUAAUGAUCAAGGAGUAUGUCAAAUUAUAACAUGUCUGCUGCAGGAAAUUAUGGGGCAAUACAGACAGUGUGCACUGGAUCAACCAUUAUCUAUGCCUGGUGUUAUGACAAAAAUGAUUGAUUUUGGCAUCAAAAUUAAAGUGUUCGUCUGGUUCAACUUGUUCUUUGUACACCGUCCUUCAUUAUGACAAGCACAUAUAGCAAAAAUACUGUCUUCAAUAUGAACUGUUGAUUAUUGAUUAAACAGAUCACAUUUGGAUGGGCUGCAGUUUCUGCAUGUCUAACGGAUGGGAUCCUUCUGAGAAUGCUAGAGUAGGGAAUCAUGACACCGAGCCACUUCAGUCAUAGACCUUAUUCUU
rnacentral:lncRNA from 1 species